AAAUAACAUAAAAUAGGCAAACACUUGAUACUAGGAUCAAAUAAAGCUCCAUAUCAGUCAUGUUUCUAAUGUCAUAAGCACCAAACGAAAGCAAACUAAACAAAAUUUGCAUGAUAAAUGGUUUAAACCAAUAUAUAUCCUGAUUCAAACACCAAAAUUUCUGCGAAAUUAGAUCCUAGCCUACACUUUGAUAGCAUACUUUCUCAAAGGGAAGUACAUCUCCUUCUUCUUCUCUCUCUCCGUCUUCAAGGAAGCCUGGUGCUUGGUCAAACGCUUGCGGAUGGCCCUAGUUUUCUUUGGGCGCAGGUCAAGAGGCAGGUAUUUCUUGUUCUUGUAAACUUCCCUA
rnacentral:misc_RNA from 1 species